AUUGAACGCUGGCGGCAGGCCUAACACAUGCAAGUCGAACGAGUGGCGGACGGGUGAGUAAUGUCUGGGAAACUGCCCGAUGGAGGGGGAUAACUACUGGAAACGGUAGCUAAUACCGCAUACCAUCAGAUGUGCCCAGAUGGGAUUAGUUUGUUGGUGGGGUAACGGCUCACCAAGGCGACGAUCCCUAGCUGGUCUGAGAGGAUGAACAGCCAAACUGGAACGGAGACACGGACCAGACUCCUACGGGAGGCAGCAGUGGUGAAUAUUGCACAAUGGGAGCAAGCCUGAUGCAGCCAUGCCGCGUGUAUGAAGAAGGCCUUCGGGUUGUAAAGUACUUUCAGUGGGGAGGCGUUACCCGCAGAAGAAGCACCGGCUAACUCCGUGCCAGCCGCCGCGGUAAUAC
rnacentral:rRNA from 1 species